AAAAACAUCGCCUCUUGCAAAACAAAAGUAUAAGAGGUCCCGCCUGCCCUGUGACUAUAUGUUUAACGGCCGCGGUAUUUUGACCGUGCGAAGGUAGCGCAAUCACUUGUCUUUUAAAUGAAGACCUGUAUGAAUGGCAUAACGAGGGCUUAACUGUCUCCUCUUUCAAGUCAAUGAAAUUGAUCUCCCCGUGCAGAAGCGGGGAUAAAAACAUAAGACGAGAAGACCCUAUGGAGCUUUAGACACUAAAGCAGAUCAUGAUUACUACCCAAUAAACAAUAUAAACGUAAAUUGAUUGAACCCUGCCCUAAUGUCUUUGGUUGGGGCGACCGCGGAGUAACAAAAAACCCCCGCACGGACUAAAUGUAUAACAUUUACAACCCAGAGCUACAGCUCUAAUUAACAGAACAUCUGACCACUAAGAUCCGGCAAUGCCGAUCAAUGGACCGAGUUACCCUAGGGAUAACAGCGCAAUCUCCUCUUAGAGUCCCUAUCGCCGAGGGGGUUUACGACCUCGAUGUUGGAUCAGGACAUCCUAAUGGUGCAGCCGCUAUUAAGGGUUCGUUGUUCAACGAUUAAAGUCCUACGUGAUCUGAGUUCAGAACGGG
rnacentral:rRNA from 1 species